UACAGAGGUCCCAAGCGUUACUGAGAAUCACUGGGCUUAAAGGGUGCGUAGGUGGUCCGUUAAGUCAGUUGUGAAAUCCCCGGGCUCAACCCGGGAACUGCUUCUGAUACUGGCGGACUUGAGGCCAGUAGGGGUCACUAGAACUGACGGUGGAGCGGUGAAAUGCGUAGAUAUCGUCUGGAACGCCAAAGGUGAAAACAGCUCGCUGGGGUUGUGCUGACGCUGAGACACGAAAGCCAGGGGAGCGAACGGG
rnacentral:rRNA from 1 species